GCCCCUGUGGCUCAGUGGUAGAGCGUNNGAGGUCACGAGUUCAAUUCUCGUCAGGGGCU
rnacentral:tRNA from 1 species